GAGUGUGGGAGACCCAGAGGGUGGCCCUACAAACCCAUGGGAGUCAGGAGAAAUGCCUAGGCUUCCAGGUGGGGCUGCAGGAAGCGGUUUAUCAGUCUCGGGGGAGACCCUGCUGCCCACCCAUGCUGCUGGCCAGGAAGUGGAGGCACUCUAUGCCUCCUCAGCACCUUUUGCCACUGGGCUGUGGGUGAAGGCUCAGAGAAGAAAAGGAGCUAUCCUGGGGUCACACAGCACAGCCAAAGCCCAGGGCAUGGGGAAAAACCUUGUGUGCCUGGCCUCAGCUCCUCCAACUGGUUUGGCAGGAGUUUCAGGCUUUAGGGCAUCCAGGGUGCUGUGGGUAGCUGGGUAGUCCAGGCUGACUUUAGAGGUGGGUCAUUCUUACUUGACAGGCCAGUAGCUCUGACCCCUGCCCUAUCUGCGACCCUGCAGCACUGGCUAAAGUGCCUACCCCUUCUUUGUGCACUGAAAACAACAGCCCCAGGCCUGAUAGCACCCAGCCAGGGCAGCCUGCAGGUGGGCAGGACAGCCGAUGAAUGAGGGGCAGUGAUGAAUUAGGACAUGUCCAGCCCCCAUGUCCCUUCUUGGAGGACAAGGGUCAGGAGGGCACAGUUGAGCCAGCAGGGGUCCAGGGACCUCUCCCUGCUGUACCUCCCUGGGGAAGGCCUCCCUCCCUCCACCCUCCCCACCUCCACCCCCGCCUGGGCUGGCUGGGCUCCCGCCAGCCAACACGACAUCAAUAUUUCAUCCACGUCAAUAAGAGGCAGCGGCGGCGGGGACAGCGGCUGCGGCAGCACUCGCGCCAGCUCCAGCCCGCAGCUCGCAGGGAGAGUCAGGUUCUGUUCUUGCUCAACAUGGAUGUCUUCAAGAAGGGCUUCUCCAUCGCCAAGGAGGGCGUGGUGGGCGCAGUGGAGAAAACCAAGCAGGGGGUGACGGAGGCUGCCGAGAAGACCAAGGAGGGGGUCAUGUAUGUGGGAGCCAAGACCAAGGAAAAUGUGGUGCAGAGCGUGACCUCAGGGUCCAGGCCAGCCCCAGUCUUCCCACAGUGGCCGAGAAAACCAAGGAGCAGGCCAACGCUGUGAGUGAGGCUGUGGUCUCCAGCGUCAAUACUGUGGCCACCAAGACCGUGGAGGAGGCAGAGAAGGUUGUGAUCACCACCGGGGUGGUGCGCAAGGAGGACUUGGACCAACCUGCC